UUUUUUUCUGGAUUAGAAAGUAAAAACACUGAUAAAAUCUGGUGCUUGGAGUCAGAGAUAAGUCCAUAUCGAAAUAUAUUAUACUCUGUCUGUAAAGGCUUAUUUGUAAUAAGAACAUAGCCUUUUCUGCCUUAAUCACUUAGAUUAUAAACUCUUGGGAACUAUUUCACACUAUGUAGCUCUUAGCACAGCUUCAGGCUGAGUGGUCACGAGGCACUUCUGCAAAGUAGAUGCAAUUAAUCAUAAUAAUGUUGUCAUACGCAAACUUUUUCCAUACAGCAAUCUCAGCUUAGUUUGAGAUUCCAGAAACACCAUUUCGUUUGGCACCUCUUCUGGACGCAACGUGCCACAGGAGCCUUGUCCUGCUCAGGGUGCUGGCAGGAGCAGUCUCACAGAACUACAAGACCUUUUGGGCUAGCGUAUUUAAGGAAGCAGGUUUUGGAUGAUGAUCCACUGAAGAUGGUGGCAAAACACUUAUUUUCUUCUCUGCAGAAGGGCUCCUUUCCUCGUGUUGACUAGGAAUUCAUUAUUGAAAUAUAAAGAUUUUAGAACAUGCAGCAAUCUAUGCAGCUUCUAACUUAGAGUUUCUGCACCAAACCAAGACGACUGAUGUAACAUGACAAAAUCUGUACUUGUAGAGAUCAGAAAGAAUAAAGAAAGGAUAAGAGGGAACAAACAAACUACUUUUUCUAGAAGAAGAGGCGUUCAGCCGAGUGGCUUCAGUCACGCUGGCUCAGACAUAAGGGAAGGAAACUGAAUGCAAAGGAACUCUGUGGGUGUAGAUGUCAGUGAGAAGAGAAGCUGUCAAAAGUCUGCCUAGCCUGUUGCACUGAAGCUCCUCUGGAAACUGCUUUGCAUCACUUAUUUUGAAUAUGAGGCCAUGUCCGUAAAACAAGAUGGAGCAAAAAUGAAACUAUGGAGACCUCAUCAGUGCAAGAUAGUACUCAUCAGCCGGAGACAAACCAUGUACUUUCUGCUCAGAAGAAUCCCAGGAAAAAAAAGGGAUUACCUGAAAAUACAAAUGCAAGAAAGCUGCAGACUUCCUUUCCUCCUAUUCACUUCAGUCUCAGUCCCCCCACAAAAGCUACAGAUAAAAGCUGCAAAGACCAUGUGUCAAUCUUAAAUGUUCCCAGAGAAGAAAGGGGGCAGAAGAUCAAUCUACCUCAGGUGGAUAAACCACUGGAGAAAGUAUCAGGACUCAUCCAAGCCAUUGCUGCGGUGGAUAAAAGUAAAGUAACAACUGCUCACACUCCAUUUCUUAGUGCUCACUCGAACAGUUUGAAUGUGCCUUUUGAUGGUGCUAGAGAGAAUAAACUGGAAAACAAAUCCAAGUUAGAGUUACUCAUUUCAAAGAUCCCCUCAGAAGGAUUCACAGCUGAAGCACCCCAGGGUCCAGACUGUCCAAACUGCAAAAGGGAAAGAAGGAUCCGGAAGGAGUAUGACAAAUGCAUUUUGCAGUCAAAAAGAGACAAGGAGGCCUUGCAAGAAAGGAUCACGGAACUGGAAGCUGAACUGAAAAAACAUGCGGAACGUAACAAGCUACUUCAAGGCCGAGAGAAUGAAUUCGUCUGUUUUUCUCAGGACAGCUCAUUAAUUGAAAGAGAGGAGUCAAGAGCCCAGCUGGAAGGAACUUGGAAUGGGGAGGAGGCACAGACUCAGAGGACCAACGUGAAGCAAAGCAAGCUGUUUCUUGAAAUAGGAGAGUUAAAAUCCCAGCUCAAAAGGACAAAGAAAGGAGAAAAGGAAAAACUCUUCAUUCUGGAAAAUGAGAAGGUGCUUAUCAGAGGAAGUGAGGUUGUGCUGAUGUAUGCAUGCCAGCGUACCACAGUUUUCUUUUCAGUUCUUAUGCUUACCCUGAAGUGUGCUGACUGUGGAUCCAUAAAUGAAAGGUGGCUGUUGCUUGCUUCCUAUAUUGUGAAAGAUGAAAAAAGGGGCUGA
ensembl:lncRNA